rnacentral:rRNA from 1 species
GAUGAACGCUGGCGGCGUGCCUAAUACAUGCAAGUCGAGCGAACAGACGAGGAGCUUGCUCCGCUGACGUUAGCGGCGGACGGGAGAGUCACACGUGGAUAACCUACCUAUAAGACUGGGAUAACUUCGGGAAACCGGAGCUAAUACCGGAGAAUAUAUUGAACCGCAUGGUUCAAUAGUGAAAGACGGUUGUGCUGUCACUUAUAGAUGGAUCCGCGCCGCAUUAGCUAGUUGGUAAGGUAACGGCUUACCAAGGCAACGAUGCGUAGCCGACCUGAGAGGGUGAUCGGCCACACUGGAAGUGAGACCCGGCCCAGAGUCCUACGGGAGGGAGCCGUAGGGCAUCUUCCGGAAUGGGCGGAAGCUUGACGGAGCAACGCCGCGUGAGUGAUGAGGGUCUUCGGAUCGUAAAACUCUGUUAUUAGGGAAGAACACAUGUGUAAGUAACUCUGCACGUCUUGACGGUACCUGAUCAGAAAGGCACGGCUAACCACGUG